rnacentral:rRNA from 1 species
GCUGGCGACCAUAGCAAGAGUGAACCACCUGAUCCCUUCCCGAACUCAGAAGUGAAACCUCUUAGCGCUAAUGGUAGUGUGGGAUUACCCAUGUGAGAGUAAGUCAUCGCCAGCU